GGCCGCUUAGCUCAGUUGGUUAGAGCGCCCGGUUUACAUCCGGUAGGUCUGGGGUUCGAGUCCCUAAGCGGCCA
rnacentral:tRNA from 1 species